UCGUGUCAAGAAAUGAAAUAUUCCCUCGAUAUUCGUGUGUAACUAUACAUCGAUACUUAUAGUCAUUUUUUAUACUUAAAAUUGUGUUAUAAGUAAGUCUGAAGUCAUGUUAAACCAAUCACAGAAUCGUAUUCGCAUCUUAAAACAUUGAUAAUACAAGACGCUGUUGAAAUACAAACAGUGAUAAGAGUUUGUAGUAAUAAUUACAAAACGUUGAAUGAAUUCAAUAUUCGCGAAUGAAUAUCGACCGUAAACGCACAACGGAGAAGCGCAUUAUCUCGGGUUGACGAUCCUGCAUCGCGUACACAUCUAUAUGCACCUACAUAUUCUCUUCUUCUAGUUCUUUGACCGCAAUGAAGUGCGUUGAGCGUCAUUCGCGCGGGUUGUCUCAUUUGGCCCCUCCUCGCACCAGAGCAGCACGCAGAGCGAGGAAGUCGUCCGGGUGCACCCGUUCUUGUAUUACCUAUGGUACCUACUUUCGUCCGAAAUGUUUCCGCUCGAUGGAAAUUACCGACGUAGUCACGACGACGAUCCAUGUGUCACAAUGGCUUACCAAU